CGGACGGGUGAGUAAUGUAUGGGGAUCUGCCUGAUGGCGGGGGAUAACUACUGGAAACGGUAGCUAAUACCGCAUAAUGUCUGCGGACCAAAGCGGGGGACCUCCGGGCCUCGCGCCAUCAGAUGAACCCAUAUGGGAUUAGCUUGUAGGUAAGGUAACGGCUUACCUAGGCGACGAUCCCUAGCUGGUCUGAGAGGAUGACCAGCCACACUGGAACUGAGACACGGUCCAG
rnacentral:rRNA from 1 species